AUUGAACGCUGGCGGCAUGCCUUACACAUGCAAGUCGAACGGCAGCACGGGAGCAAUCCUGGUGGCGAGUGGCGAACGGGUGAGUAAAGUAUCGGAACGUGCCCAGUCGUGGGGGAUAACGUAGCGAAAGUUACGCUAAUACCGCAUACGAUCUAUGGAUGAAAGCGGGGGAUCGCAAGACCUCGCGCGAUUGGAGCGGCAUAUAUGAGAUUAGGUAGUUGGUGGGGUAAAGGCUCACCAAGCCGACGAUCUGUAGCUGGUCUGAGAGGACGACCAGCCACACUGGGACUGAGACACGGCCCAGACUCCUACGGGAGGCAGCAGUGGGGAAUUUUGGACAAUGGGCGAAAGCCUGAUCCAGCCAUGCCGCGUGCAGGAUGAAGGCCUUCGGGUUGUAAACUGCUUUUGUACGGAACGAAAAGGUUUGGCCUAAUAAGCUGAGCUCAUGACGGUACCGUAAGAAUAAGCACCGGCUAACUACGUGCCAGCUGCCGCCGUAA
rnacentral:rRNA from 1 species